AUUGCAUCAUUUUUUGAAGCUACAAAGCUUUGAUUAUUAAACUUAAACAUUUAAUUCUAAUCUUACUAAGACAUAUUAUGGGCGGAUAUAGAGUGACAACAUAUUUGUAUGCCGUUUAUGUUACUGUUAUUAAGAUCUCUUUGUUUUACACUGCAAGCUGUUAGAAUUUCAUCCUACUUUUUGUCCAUAUACAUAUCAGUUUAUUUUUGCUCUGUUUGUUCUGAGUAAAGUUGAGGUGUUUCUGCUUAAAAAGCUCCGUGUUCUCACUAUAUCAUACUUUUUGAGCCAAAAACCUGAUGUAUCAAAUAUGGCACAAAACAUGAACACGCACACAUUUUUAGUUCCAUUCCAGAAAAUUAUAUUUUUUUCUGCCUAUUAUUUCAUAUGUGAGGCUUUACAAGGUUAAAGUGAAUCUUUGACUUUAAAAUUAUCAUUUUGAAUUUUGUUUUCCAGGUUAAGCCAAAUAUGAAGCAAGCAGUGCCAUGUGUGGCAUCACCAUGCAAACGCAUCACCACAAAGACAAUGACCUCUGAACCCAGACUCGGCCAAUCAGAGAGUGUUCAGGGAUUUGACUUCCUGUGGAUUGCUUGAGAAGGAAAAUGUUUUGUUGUUUUCAGUGUUUUUUACCCUUCUUUGUUUGUGAGAUAGAGAUGCAGUUUUAAGGGUCUGUGUUGCGGACCUGCUAGUUUGAAUAGUUAUUCUCGUUUGAAUAUUGUAGCUGAUUUUGUUCAAGUUUGAAAGCUUUUGAAAAACCGAUGCACCCAAAGACGUGUCAGAUCUGACCAGAACGAGACUGAAUGGACUGAGGUGGGAACGAAAUGGAACGGAACGCAAUAGAAAAUGAUGCAUGAUUGAAGGACGAACGUGAUGAGUUGAUUGGCUGGCUGAGGUAUGUGGGCGUGGUUUGUUGGAUGUGGGUGUGGUCAUGUUGAUUUCAAGGACGCAGUUGCAGCAAAUGCAGUAUAAAUGACCUUCUAAAGGAACUAAAUUAAAGAAAGGGUCGAGUUCAGUACUGUAAUUUAUUUUCGAUUUACUUUUUUAUUUAUUUUCAGUAGACGAACAGCAUUUUAGCAGCUUUUCCGUGUACAUUCGAGGAAAUAUUUUGGUCGUUUCAAAUAUUUGAGUUCAGAUUUUCAUGUCCAAUUCAGCAUUUAUGCAUAUUUAAGAUCAAAUUGAUUUAGUUUUAUAGAUUUUCAAAUAGGUACUUUAAUAAAGAGGUGGAUGUACUGUGCUCCUAUUACUGGAGAGUUUUACCAAUUGUUAAUUUUGUUGAUUUUUUUUCUAGAAGCACUGUUUGUAGUCAAUAUUUCCUGUGAAUGGACAUUUCUUACCUACAAACAUUUGCGCACACGUCUGACCUGCUGUGUGUUUUUCUGGAGGUGUGUGUGUGUGUGUAUUUGUGUGCCUCUCUAUAGCCGUGUGUUUGUGCAAAGCUGGAAUGUGAAUCAUAUUGAUGCCUUCAUUUCAUUUUAAUCUUAAAUAUCUGCCAAAAAUGACUUGUUGAUUUAGUUUGUUUGAAGUCUUUCAUCUUAUUUACUCCGAUAAAAAUUUGCAAGUUAAUUCAUGGACUCAUUUGUUUCUGGACCUCUGCGUCAUGUGAUUCUACCUGCGGUACAUGGGGCUUAAUGACAUCACUUCCUGUGCCCUUCGGAUCAAGAGCUCUUCUGUGAAAGCUGGCUGGUUUGGUGGAGGCGAUCAUUACGGUGCCGGUAGCCGCAGUGUUUCGCUCUUUCCACCGAACAACGUUUUCAUAUUUUUUUAAGAAGCAAAUUUUACAGAAAUGAGGCCGUGAUUUACAUGCAUGUGAUUUCAAGUGAUGAUUUGUUGUGUUCAGAAUAAAAGAUAUCUUGAAAACAAA